rnacentral:rRNA from 1 species
CCGAGUUUACAACUCCCAAACCCAAUGUGAACGUUACCAAACUGUUGCCUCGGCGGGAUCUCUGCCCCGGGUGCGUCGCAGCCCCGGACCAAGGCGCCCGCCGGAGGACCAACCAAAACUCUUAUUGUAUACCCCCUCGCGGGUUUUUUUAUAAUCUGAGCCUUCUCGGCGCCUCUCGUAGGCGUUUCGAAAAUGAAUCAAAACUUUCAACAACGGAUCUCUUGGUUCUGGCAUCGAUGAAGAACGCAGCGAAAUGCGAUAAGUAAUGUGAAUUGCAGAAUUCAGUGAAUCAUCGAAUCUUUGAACGCACAUUGCGCCCGCCAGUAUUCUGGCGGGCAUGCCUGUCCGAGCGUCAUUUCAACCCUCGAACCCCUCCGGGGGGUCGGCGUUGGGGAUCGGCCCUGCCUUGGCGGUGGCCGUCUCCGAAAUACAGUGGCGGUCUCGCCGCAGCCUCUCCUGCGCAGUAGUUUGCACACUCGCAUCGGGAGCGCGGCGCGUCCACAGCCGUUAAACACCCAACUUCUGAAAUGUUGACCUCGGAUCAGGUAGGAAUACCCGCUGAACUUAAGCAUAUCAA